rnacentral:lncRNA from 1 species
GCGACUCCGUUUUCAUAUUUAAAAAACCCUUUUUAAAUUUCAUUUGGCCAAAUCGUCGCUUUCCAAAGUCCCAUGGCCUUUUACUUUUCAUUUUGCACACGUUCACACCACACUUCACACACCACACAAUUCAAUACGAAUCAAAAAGUGGGGCGCGACACUAUUCACACAAGGUUUUUUACUAAUUUUUCUGCAAGAAAUCCGACUAGAUAUGAGCAAGCGAGAAAACUUGUAGAAACAAAUUUUUGGGAGUUUCAAGAGCCAACUUUGCCAACUAGAAACAACUCAUUUUGGCUUGAAUCUCUCUAUAAAUAGAAGCUUUGGAGAACAUUUUAACAACUUUGGAAGGCUAGAGAAACUCCACUAAAAUGUAGUCUUCACUAGUUUUUCUUAGUUCAUUAGUAUAGUAUAGUUAGUAUAGUUUUUCUAUCUUAUAUUUGUAGUUAGAUUUGGAUGAAGAAUUGAGAGCAAAGAUGGAGAGGUUGAAUCUCAUGUGACAAGGGUGAUUCCUCUCCUAUCACUUUCUCUUUUGUAUUGGAAUUCAUGUUUAGCUAUAAAACAAGUUUGGAUCUGGUUCUUCAUAUUUACUUAAAGUUCAUGCCUAGAG